rnacentral:rRNA from 1 species
AAAUUGAAGAGUUUGAUCAUGGCUCAGAUUGAACGCUGGCGGCAGGCCUAACACAUGCAAGUCGAACGGUAACAGGAAACAGCUUGCUGUUUCGCUGACGAGUGGCGGACGGGUGAGUAAUGUCUGGGAAACUGCCUGAUGGAGGGGGAUAACUACUGGAAACGGUAGCUAAUACCGCAUAACGUCGCAAGACCAAAGAGGGGGACCUUCGGGCCUCUUGCCAUCGGAUGUGCCCAGAUGGGAUUAGCUUGUUGGUGGGGUAACGGCUCACCAAGGCGACGAUCCCUAGCUGGUCUGAGAGGAUGACCAGCCACACUGGAACUGAGACACGGUCCAGACUCCUACGGGAGGCAGCAGUGGGGAAUAUUGCACAAUGGGCGCAAGCCUGAUGCAGCCAUGCCGCGUGUAUGAAGAAGGCCUUCGGGUUGUAAAGUACUUUCAGCGAGGAGGAAGGCAUUAAGGUUAAUAACCUUGGUGAUUGACGUUACUCGCAGAAGAAGCACCGGCUAACUCCGUGCCAGCAGCCGCGGUAAUACGGAGGGUGCAAGCGUUAAUCGGAAUUACUGGGCGUAAAGCGCACGCAGGCGGUUUGUUAAGUCAGAUGUGAAAUCCCCGGGCUCAACCUGGGAACUGCAUUUGAAACUGGCAAGCUUGAGUCUUGUAGAGGGGGGUAGAAUUCCAGGUGUAGCGGUGAAAUGCGUAGAGAUCUGGAGGAAUACCGGUGGCGAAGGCGGCCCCCUGGACAAAGACUGACGCUCAGGUGCGAAAGCGUGGGGAGCAAACAGGAUUAGAUACCCUGGUAGUCCACGCCGUAAACGAUGUCGACUUGGAGGUUGUGCCCUUGAGGCGUGGCUUCCGGAGCUAACGCGUUAAGUCGACCGCCUGGGGAGUACGGCCGCAAGGUUAAAACUCAAAUGAAUUGACGGGGGCCCGCACAAGCGGUGGAGCAUGUGGUUUAAUUCGAUGCAACGCGAAGAACCUUACCUGGUCUUGACAUCCACGGAAGUUUUCAGAGAUGAGAAUGUGCCUUCGGGAACCGUGAGACAGGUGCUGCAUGGCUGUCGUCAGCUCGUGUUGUGAAAUGUUGGGUUAAGUCCCGCAACGAGCGCAACCCUUAUCCUUUGUUGCCAGCGGUCCGGCCGGGAACUCAAAGGAGACUGCCAGUGAUAAACUGGAGGAAGGUGGGGAUGACGUCAAGUCAUCAUGGCCCUUACGACCAGGGCUACACACGUGCUACAAUGGCGCAUACAAAGAGAAGCGACCUCGCGAGAGCAAGCGGACCUCAUAAAGUGCGUCGUAGUCCGGAUUGGAGUCUGCAACUCGACUCCAUGAAGUCGGAAUCGCUAGUAAUCGUGGAUCAGAAUGCCACGGUGAAUACGUUCCCGGGCCUUGUACACACCGCCCGUCACACCAUGGGAGUGGGUUGCAAAAGAAGUAGGUAGCUUAACCUUCGGGAGGGCGCUUACCACUUUGUGAUUCAUGACUGGGGUGAAGUCGUAACAAGGUAACCGUAGGGGAACCUGCGGUUGGAUCACCUCCUUA